rnacentral:sRNA from 1 species
ACUUUCUUCUCCGUCUUU